GACGAACGCUGGCGGCGUGCUUAACACAUGCAAGUCGAACGGAAAGGCCCUGCUUUUGUGGGGUGCUCGAGUGGCGAACGGGUGAGUAACACGUGAGUAACCUGCCCUUGACUUUGGGAUAACUUCAGGAAACUGGGGCUAAUACCGGAUAGGAUCUCCUGCUGCAUGGUGGGGGUUGGAAAGUUUCGGCGGUUGGGGAUGGACUAGCGGCUUAUCAGCUUGUUGGUGGGGUAGUGGCUUACCAAGGCUUUGACGGGUAGCCGGCCUGAGAGGGUGACCGGCCACAUUGGGACUGAGAUACGGCCCAGACUCCUACGGGAGGCAGCAGUGGGGAAUAUGGCACAAUGGGCGGAAGCCUGAUGCAGCAACGCCGCGUGCGGGAUGACGGCCUGCGGGUUGUAAACCGCUUUCGCCUGUGACGAAGCGUGAGUGACGGUAAUGGGUAAAGAAGCACCGGCUAACUACGUG
rnacentral:rRNA from 1 species